rnacentral:lncRNA from 1 species
UUCACCCCGGAGGCGAGGACGCCCGCCCUCGUGUCAGAGGCUGACGCCGUGGGCUUGACAAAGAGUCAUGUUACGAGCUCUGCUACAUGUUCCCACGAACACAGUGCCACUCUACGUAUCUCCCCACUACUGAUGAAUGGGCUGAGACAUGCUGAAACCAGGAACGACAGUCCUUUUAUGAGAUGAAUAAGACUUCAGAGAAUUAUGAAGUUGAAACCACAACGUGGAAGACACCUGGGGUUGACAAACGAGUCAUUGGAGACGCGCUUCCUAGGAGAGCUGUGUGACCAGGAACACCUAGAGUAGUGUAUUUGCUUUGUUAAAGAGUGACUUGUAUGAGAGAGAAAUCUAUUUUCCAUAAAAAUAAAAAAAGAAUGAC